GGAGUUGAUCGACGGAAGCCUUCGGGCGGAAGAUGAUUAACUUAGCGGCGGAUGGGUGAGUAACGCGUGGGCAACCUGCCUCGAAGACCGGGAUAACAGUUCGAAAGGGCUGCUAAUACCGGAUGUGGUCAAGUGUCAGCAUGGGCAUUUGAUUAAAGGGGAAACCCGUUUCGAGAUGGGCCCGCGUCCUAUCAGCUAGUUGGUGAGGUAAAGGCUCACCAAGGCAAUGACGGGUAGCCGGCCUGAGAGGGUGACCGGCCACACUGGAACUGAGACACGGUCCAGACUCCUACGGGGGGCAGCAGUGGGGAAUCUUCCACAAUGGGCGAAAGCCUGAUGGAGCGACGCCGCGUGAGCGAAGAAGGUCUUCGGGUUGUAAAGCUCUGUCUGGAGGGACGAAGAAAGUGACGGUACCUCCGGAGGAAGCCACGGCUAACUACGUGCCAGCAGCCGCGGUAAUACGUAGGUGGCGAGCGUUGUCCGGAAUCACUGGGCGUAAAGGGCGCGCAGGCGGCGUGUCAAGUCGGACGUGAAAACCCCUGGCUCAACUGGG
rnacentral:rRNA from 1 species